ACAGCCUUAAGCAUUGCACCGCGAUGCACAACUCUGACGCUGUCUCCCGCGCCAAAGGGGACACGUCUUCCAAAGAAGGGUCAUCUACUGAAGCCACCAACAUGCAGACCGCGUCACGGAUGCAGGAGGAUGCUCCAUCGGUCGCCUGUACUGAACUAUGUUCUGACGUGCACCAGUUCAGAGUCUGCCAUCCCAUCUGCCUAGCAGAUGUAUAUCCAGCCAGAAGACCUUGGCUUAAAAAGAGACUUUACGUGGCUUUGGAUUCACAAAGCGACGCCUCCCUGGCGACUCCAGAGUUUUUCCAACUGUUUGACAUAAAAACCCAGACGGUCGACUACACCAUGUCCACCUGUGUAGGGAAGAAGAAGUUGCAGGGUCGCAUAGCAUCCGGCUUUGUUGUCUCCUCUUGUGACCAGAAGAGACUGUUCGAGUUACCAGACCUCAUUGAGUGUUCCUCUAUUCCCCGGAACAAAAGGCAGAUUGUCACCAGAGAAGUCGUGGAAGCCCAUCCUCACUUGCGAAAGCUGAAGAACGCCUUACCUGCUUUCCGUCCAGAUGUGGACAUUGCCCUUCUGCUUGGUGCGGACUGUCCGAACUUGUUCUAUGUGAACGACCAAGUUAAGGGACCUCCAGGGGCGCCCAUUGCUCAGCUGCUACCACUAGGCUGGACAGUUACAGGCCCAGUGUGCAUAAAUAGGAUGCACCCUCCAUCGUCGGUGGGCACUCGUCAAGCGCACGUGCUUCAAGGCAGUCGCCCCACACUAAUGCAUAGCUGUUUGAGUCAUGUCUCGGUCUAUUGUCAGGGGAUAACACCAGAGUAUUCUUCCAUCUUUGAAGUCUCCGAAAGGGAUGAAACUACAGCGCUUUCCAAAGAUGAACAGAGGUUUUUAGAGAUCAUGAACUCUCAAGUUUCCCGGAGUCCAGAGGGAAGUUGGAUAGCCCCUCUGCCUUUUAAAGCAGAAAAACCCACUUUGCCAAACAACAGGCAUGUGGCAGAAAAUAGACUCUGGUCACUGAAGAAGAAGAUGCAGAAAGACCCCAAGGUAAAAGAGCAAAUCGUUGGCUUUAUGGAAGACAUGUUCCAAAGUAACUACGCCGAAGUCAAUUUUCCAUCAGCCUUUUCUCCCACCGAUAUUACAGAAUUGCCCGAGUCCGUUCCAGAGGUGAAAGUUUGCAAGAUGACCACAGAAAUCAAGAUGGGCCAAAGAUCUUGCCUGGAACCACACCGUUUUGAAUGUUUUUCGGAGUGGCACAGUCUUCUUAGAGCAGUUGCUAGGCUUAUACAUCGUUUAGCUUGCAAAGAUAGUGAGCCUUUACAGGUCCAGGAUAUGAUAAAGGCUAAGAGCGUCAUAUUCAAGUCAGUACAGAGAUCUGCUUUCAAGCAGGAAAUAGCUAGGCUAGAGCAAGGGCUCAACAUCCCUAAUCAAAGUCUUCUAAAUGAGUUAAACCCAUUUCUAGACAAGGAGGGUAUUUUGAGAGUUGGAGGAAGGUUAGCCAAAGCUAAACUCAAGGCGUGCAUAAAAAACCCCAUCAUCAUACCCCCUAAUAGUCACACUGCAUUGCUGCUCGUUCGGCAUCACCAUGAAAGGAUCCAUCAUCAGGGUAGAACUCUAACUGAGGCAGCCCUUAGAAAUGAAGGUCUGUGGGUAGUUAAUGCCAAAAGGUUGGUCAACAGUUGUAUUUUCAAAUGUGUUAAAUGCAGGCGCCUUAGGCGAAACUGUCAAAGUCAGUUGAUGGCAGAACUACCUCAGGAUAGGACUUUGACAGACCCACCCUUUUCCCAUGUGGGAAUCGAUGUGUUUGGUCCUUGGGAGGUUGUCACUAGGAAAACCAGGGGUGGUGUUGUAAAUAACAAGAGGUGGGCAGUUUUGUUUACUUGUUUAGUAAUACGAGCUGUCCAUAUAGAAGUCAUAGAAGGGAUGGACACUUCAUCAUUUUUAAACGCAUUAAAAAGGUUCAUAGCCCUCAGAGGGCCAAUUAAGUCAAUUCGGUCGGACUGUGGCACCAAUUUUGUAGGUGCGACCAAAGAACUCAAUUGUGUGUCUAGGUUUGGGAGAGACCCAAAGGUUCAGAACUUUACGAAUACUGAACAAAUUAUGUGGACUUUCAAUGUUCCUCACGCCUCCCACAUGGGUGGUGUUUGGGAGAGGAUGAUUGGUAUUAGUCGCAAAAUCCUUAAUGCCAUGCUUUUGAGUCAUAGGUCAUUGACGCAUGAUGUUUUGGUGACACUUAUGGCGGAAGUUACCGCAAUUAUCAACAACCGGCCGCUGGUUCCCCUUACCAGUGACCCUGAGAACUUACAACCACUGACUCCUGCACUUAUUUUGACACAAAAGGUGCCAGGAUGGAAGGACAUCAUGUUGCCAGUUCCGGACGGAACUCACCGUGCCCUGUGGAAACAGGUGCAGUCCUUGGCCAACCACUUUUGGAAAAGGUGGAAAGCUGAGUACUUAAGCCAGCUUCAAGCUAGAAGAAUCUGGCAAAGCCCACAGGACAACAUUGAGGUUAACAACGUUGUGUUGUUAAAGGACAAAGACUUGCCCCGCCAUGCAUGGCCCAUGGGCAUUGUAUUAAAGACCUUUCCUUGCCCGGAUGGUAAGGUCAGGAAAGUUCAAUUAAAGACUUGCAACAGAGACAAAGUGUCCAUUUUGGACAGACCAAUUAGUGACCUCGUGUUGCUUAUUGGAGAUGUUUAAAGUUCUAGUGUUUGUAUUGUCAUAUGUGCAAAGGUGUUUGUAUGUUUUUGAGUGGUAAAUUCCCACAUCCUGGGAAUUUAAGCGGGGAGUGUUCCGUCCCCCAGGACGAUGGUUUGCCUUACUUAUUGGUCGUUUGUUUGUUUUCCCUCCUUUGCAUUUUGUUUCAGCCUCUGGCUGCAAAAGCCCAAGAAAGGUGGCUUGAAGUCUGCAAGAGCUGGCUGCAGUUUUCUUUGCAAUGAUUGGUCAAAGAGUACAACAUCUUAGGACCGCCCUUUUUACCAGGGUCUAGUCUCCAUUUUAGAGUUUCAUUCUGGCUAUAGUCUUCCAACGUGCUGGAGCUGUGCAAGGCUAACUGGGACAAAUCAUCCUCAAAACCAGGCCAAUCUAAGCCUAUCCAAAUUAGAUAAGUAUUGAAUUAUACUGAUCUGGAAUAGGAAAUCUAGUUAGAGGAGCAGGGUUAUUCCAUCGCUUCUAGAACUAAUCUUUGCUGUAAAGAUAGGGAAGGAAAGAGUUUCUCCUUCUAAUAUAGACAGCGUGAUUAGGGUAUAGUGGUUUUAUAAUCACCUUUGCCUUCUGGAACCAGGGAUAAUUCUGCAACUAAAACCUAUGGAAAUUUGUUUCAUUUUCUGCAACUUUAAGAUCUGUGCCAGGUUUACAACCUUGUAUGAAUAAACAUCCUUUUUUGAAGUUCUCCAGACUCAGUCGUUCAAUAUUUUAGGACAGCUUAUAGGGAUUUGCAGUUCGCCCGGAUAAAGGACGGCACGUUUCAGCUUUAUAGUUUUUUUUAUUGUCUGGCGGACGGCACAAUCCUUUAUCAUGCUAUUCCAAUGGUCCUUUGAUAGUUGCUAGGGUUUGGUUUCAGUGCCUACUGUAAAUGCCAAAUCUAGGACUGUCUCAGGCUAGAUUUACCCCAGGCUAACUUUCCCAGUGUAGAUGAGCCCAAUAUUUCUCCUCAAGGCAGGCAAUAAGAAGUUUAAACAAUCUUCAAUGGCCAUCUGCCACGGCUGCUUUGAAUAUGAUUUUCUUGCUUCUUGGGAGGGGGUUGGUCUGGAUGGCCCGUGAGGUCUCUUCCAACUCUAUUAUUUUGUGAUUCUAUGAUUCUUGCCAUUGUGAGGAAUACUUAAAAAUCUAUUUUUAAUGUGGGAAUUCUUCUGUAUGAUGUGUGCAUGUAGUUCUUUGUCCAUUGUUUUUGCAAAAAAAAAAAAAAAAGCAACCAUUUUCAUAUUUUCUAUGCAAAAGAAGCUUUUGCUGCACUAAAAAGCCUGUCUUGUACACAGAACACAAAAUGAUCAAACUUUGGAUGGAAAAUUGCAAAAUGUGAAUAAUGCUGUGAACUCAGGAUUUUUCUUGCCAGGGCUUGUCUACCGGUUGAAAGCAUGUUUUCAGUGAUUUUUCAAGCUGUCAAGCAUCAUUGAACAUGUGCUCUGCAUUCAGUUUGCUUCUUAUCAUCCUUGGCCAGAGGUCCUCAAACCUUUGAAGCAGAGGGCCAGGUCAUAGUCCUUCAAACUGUCAGGGGGCUGGACUAUAGUUUGAAAUAAAUAUGAACAAAUUCCUAUGUACACUGUACAUAUCUUAUUUGUAGUGCAAAAAACAUGAAAGAAUAAUACAAUAUUUAAAACGAAGAAAAAUUUUAACCAACAUAAACUUACCAGUAUUUGAAUUGGAAGUGGGGACCUGCUUUUGGCUGAUGAGAUAGUAAAGUUAAUUAGGAUUGUUGUUGUGUGUCUUCAAAACAUUUCAAACUUAGGGUGACCCUAAGUCUAAAGUUUAGGGUCUAGCCCACAGCUUUAGUUUGGAGACCCCUGUCAUAAGUGAUCUCUCAUGGCCGAGUAUUAUUGUCUUCCAGAUGUAGAGUCUUAGCAAUGGGUCCGUAAGUGACUGCAGAACAGUGGUUUUCAACCUGUGGGUCCCUAGAUGCCUUCAACUCCCAGAAAUGCUAACAGCUGGUAAACUGGCUGGGAUUUCUGGGAGUUAUAGGCCAUAGCAUCUGGGGACCCACAGAUUGAGAACCACUGUUGUAGAGACAUAUUCUGGAUUCACAUGGUCUUUCUCAGUGAGGACAUACAUUUCCAGAUGGAAGGUGGUCCCAACAAAAGUUUGCUUGACAUGUUUCUCCCUUUUGCCCUCUAUUCGUGCUUCUUCAAAAUCCAUAGCCCUACUGGUAACAGCUGAUUUCCAGUUAGAAUGCUCAAGUGCCAGGGAUUCUCAGUUCUCUGCAUUUAUUCUACAUUUUAAAGGUUUGCUUUAAAUCCAUCUUUAAAUCUGUUUUGCUGUCCACUGACAUUCCUUUUUCCAUUCUUGAGCUGAGAGUAAAGUUAUUGCUUUGGGAGAUAGUGAUUGGGCAUUCAGGCAACAUGGCCACUCCAGUGAAGUCAAUGGUGGAGGAUCAUUGUUUCAAUGCUGGUGGCAUUUGCUUCUUCCAGAAUGCUGAUGUUUCCUCUUAGAGGAUCCUAUGGCCCCUUCCACACUGCCCCUAUAUCACAGGAUCUGAUCCCAGAUUAUCUGCUUGUCCCAGAUUAUCAAGCAGUAGAGACUCAUAGAAUCCAGUUUAAAGCAGAUAAUCUGGGAUCAGAUCCUGGGAUAUAGGACAGCGUAGAAGGGGGGAUAUCUCUCUGUAUGAACCUCCCUGAUUUUUAAAUCUUUAGGAGAAAACUUUAUUUCUAUACUCCCAGUUUGUAGAAUUCUUUCCCAUGGGAGGUCCAGUUUGUCCAUUCUCUGUUCUUUUUCUGCUGAUAGGCAAAGACAUUCAAGCUGGCCUUUGAUUUAUAAUUUAUCAAACAGUGCUUUUGAAGAGAUUGUAUUUUAGCUUUUUUUAAAAACUGAAAUUUAAUUGUUUUUCAGCAUUGUAUUUUUAGCGAAACCAUUGCUUAAUUGUUUUUAUUAUUUAUAUAUUUAUUUAUUUGAAAACUGUAUCUUGUUUUUCAAAUGCCUGUAAGCUGUGUUAGUUCCUUCUCAGGAUAAAAGGUGGGAGAUUAAUUAAUUAAUUAAAGAUAUAAUAAACAAAGAGAAAAUAUACAAAGGGCCCUGCAGCUGGCCAGUCUGGAAAUGUUCACCAGCAUAUGCAUAGGGAUCAAAGCCUCUGGAUCUGAACAAUCCUGCCUUGCAGUUUUAUUUUGCUCCCCAGUCUGUCUUACCUGCUCCCUGUCACUUCUCUUUGACAUUCUCACUUAUCAUGACCAUUGGUUUUUGGCAGGUUUCCGCUGCUGCCAAACCUCCUGCAAGAGCUGCAGUGAAGUAUGGGGCCGUGAUCUGCGAGAGAGAACAUUUGGGAACAUGAUGGAUGUGAGGCGGUGGGUCCUUGUUAAGUUGGCAGCCCAUUUUCCGUUAUCUCCUUAACACCUUCACUCGGUUUAGGAGAACUGCAGUUGGAGGGGGAGAAACGAGAAAGACAACUAUGGGGAAAUCAAGUGUUUCUCCAAUAGUGCAAUUUGUAUUCCUAAGAAAGUAGACUGACAGUUAAAUCUUGUACAGAAACAGUGGUCUAAGGACAAGUCACUCUGAUGCAGCAAUUCCUGACACCAUUUUGCUUUCAUAUUUGCCCUUUUUUGUUAGGAAAUAGUAAAGCUUCAACUGUAUGCUGAUCUGUUUUAGUGAACCCGUAUCACCUCCAUCCUCACCACAGCUAAUGUCUCCUUUUGAUUUGUAUUGUUUGCUGAGCUUUCCCAUUUGUGCUUUGCUAGAAAUGAGGUAACUGCAACAUUAAUUAACAAACAGAAGUGAUGGUUACAUACCUUGUCAGUCCCUGAGACUGUUCUCUUAAACAACAAACUCUGGCUACAUGUUUUGCUGGUUACAUAGACCUCAGGUAAGGAUUACCACAAUUUUGCUCAACUCACUUUGUCAUUGUCUGCAUGACUCUGAACUUCUAUAGAAUACUAGCUGUUCCCGGCCACGCGUUGCUGUGGCAAAGUAUGGUGGUAUGGGAAAGAAAGUAUUGAGGAAUUGGUGGUAGUUAAGGUCAAGGGUAAAGCUUUUCCCCUGACAUUAAGCCCCCUUCUAUGAGGCCCCUUCUACACAGGGAAGUGGAUUAUAUGGCAGUGUGGAGUCAAGAUAAUCCAGUUGAAAGCAGAUAAUAUAAGAUUAUAAAUGGGUUAUAUAGCUGUGUGGAAGGGCCUUGAGUAUACACUGCCAUAUAAUCCAGUUCAAAUGUGAUAAUCUGUAUUUUAUAGGUAGCGUGGAAGAGGCCUAAGUGAGGCCUAACUCUCCCUGUCCCCUGGGCUGAGUGGGUUGCUAGGAGAAAGUGCCUUCUAACUGGCAGCAAUUGGAUGAAAGGAAUUCUUCCUCUCCCUCUAAUUAGGACUUUAUUUUUCUUUUCUUUUUGUUGUAUGAACAUAGAGGCAUGGAUGAGGGGUUGUGCUGCCAAGUUUAGUGUUUCUGGGAUGUGUAGUUUUCUUGUUUUGUCCUAGGCCGAAAUUUCAUUACCCUUUUAUAUGUAUAGAUUGGUGCUCAAAAUAAACUUUAUAUAUCUUGAGUACUGUUAUGAGUAGGUUGGACUGAAAGCAGUGCUUAUUUUUUCUGGAUUCUUUGUCGAAAGUUGUUGUUUGUACAGUAGAGUCUUGCUUAUCCAACCUUCAUUUAUCCAACAUUCUGGAUUAUCCAUCGCAGUCUGCCUCCCGGCCGGAUUCAUAACUGUUUCUCUCGACAGCAAGGACUGGACUUUUUAUAGAUUUAACUUCUGACAAUGUUGUUACUGUAAGUUUAUUUUAUGCAAUUAUAUCUUUAUUCGUAGUCAAUGGUUCAAUAGUCAGUGUUUUAGUAGUCAGUGUUUUAAUACGUUGCAAUGUCUUGGUGCUAAAUUCGUAAAUACAGUAAUUACUACCUAACGUUACCGUGUAUUGAACUAGUUUUUCUGUCAAUUUGUUGUAAAACGUGAUGUUUUGGUGCUUAAUUUGUAAAAUCAUAAUGUAAUUUGAAGUUUAAUAGGCUUUUCCUUAAUCCCUCCUCAUUAUCCAACAUUUUCACUAAUUCAACCUUCUGCCGGUCCAUUUAUGUUGGAUAAGCGAGACUCUACUGUAGUUUGUUUGUCUUCUUGCCCAUUCCAGGUCAGUGUUUUACUUGGGAAAUAUGACAUUUCAGUCCUACCCAAAAGGAGCAUUUGGGAUUGGGCAGAACUGACCUUUUCAAAAUACAAUUAGAGGGACCGGAAAAUGUGUUUUGAUAAUAAAUACAGAAGUGAAGUCAAAGGAAAUUCCAUCUGCUCUUUUUUACUCCGAUUUCUUGUGCUCAUUUUUAUUCUCAUUUCUUUUUCACGGCGGGAGGUAAACUGCUAGGAUUGCUAGUUGCUUCCUUCGAGAGUGAAAUUAGCUAAGAAUUACAUCCUUGUUCAGAGGUGUUUCCAAACUAGCUGCCAGUCUUUCCAAAGAUAUUUUCCCCCAAUCAACUUUGCAAAACUAAUAGAAAGUUCUAUGCCAAACUCAAAUCCUACAAUUGCUUCAAUUUUCCCCCACCUACUGACUUAGCUGAGCAUCUCCAAGGCAAGAUAACAAAUGAUAGAUUGCAUCAUGUUUAAUACAUUUGUAUGGGUAAUAUGAUUGUUUGCUGGAUUUUGUGUAAAAAAGGGAGGGAGUAGAACCUCAGGAUGAAUGCAUUGCCUGGGAGGCCUAACAGAAAGAAAAGAGGAUAUAGCCCUGCUGAUAACAGCAAAGGGAGAGUGAGAUGGUAGAUAAAUGCUAUCAGUGCAACUGUGAAUUCACAAAGAACAUUAAGGCUUACUGAAAUGUAUUAUAUAACAGUGAGAGAGAAAAUGUCCCUGUAGACAUCAAGGUGGGGAGAGGGGUGGGGGGCUUCACUUAGAAUAUUAGAGAUGAUGAUAAACACAUUUGCCCAGAGACAGAACAGAGUAAAAAUGAGACCCUGUCAUGUUUGAUCUCUAUAUAUCUCCCAUUCUUCAAAGCCAGGGUUACAUUGUAUUGUGAGAAACUGAGUACAUUUUUAAAAAGUCACAUUUAUAAUUAAUCCUGUUAGGGUAUUAUGCUGGCCCAGUGUUGGGAUAUAUCACAAUCAUACUUUUCAUAUUGUGGUGUAAGGAGGUAUAAAGUAUCUCCUUAUGCAAGGAUUUCUCUAUUUGUCCAAAGAGCAAUGGACAAGUUCAAAGGCUGGUCCAGAAUGGAGGCAUAGCAAUACCAUCUCCAACCUGGAAAACCCACCAGAAUAGAUGUGGAACAAUUUGUAACGUCCACUGAAUUUCCACCCAGGAUGUCACCACUACAGAACUAUGCAUUGAAUAGGAUUGCAACCAUAAUCUGCCUCUCCUUCAAUACAUUCAAGGGGGCAUAUUUGUUCCUUGCUUCAUUUUCACAAUAAAUAAAGUUAAGUAGACUUGGCUGAGAAAAGGAGAAUGGUUGAUAAUCGACUUGAACAUGGAUUUGCAAAAUUUCAGUCCUAUAUUCUAACCACUAGACCCUCCAGUGUAGUGUAGUCGUUUUAAAUGUGGAUUAGGACUUGGGAGACCAGGGUUCAAAUGCCUAUUCAGUCAUUAUAACUCUUUGAGGGGCCUUGGGAAACUCUUGCUGUCAGAUUUACAGAUAGGGAAUGACAAAUAAAAAAUAAACCUUCUAGAUCAGGGUCACCAUAAGUCAUAAUAAAUUUGAUGGAACACAGCCUCCGGUAACACAGCAGGUUAAACCACUGAGCCGCUGAACUUGCUGAUCAAAAGGUUGGCGGUUCGAAUCCAAGGAGCGGGGUGAGCUUCCACUGUUAGCCCCAGCUUCUGCCAACCUAGCAGUUCGAAAACAUGCAAAUGUGAGUAGAUCAAUAGGUACCACUCCGAAGGAAAGGUAAUGGCACUCCAUGCAGUCAUGCCAGCCACAUGACCUUGGAAGUGUCUGCAAACAACUCUGGCUCUUCAGCUUAGAGAUGAGCACCAAACUGCAGAGUUGGACAUGACUAGACUUAAUGUCAGGGGAAAACCUUUAUCUUUACCUAUCAACAACGUUCAAGAAAAAGAGUAUCCUUUGUAAUUGGCACAAACUAAAUUGGACAUCAUCAGAAAGUAAAGAAACAUGCAGGGAGCUGCAUUCUUCACCAGAUGGAAGUUUCCAUGUUGCUUGUAAAGGCAGACCCUUGAACAAAAAUCCAAUUGCAAAGGCCAGUACAAGUGUUUCCUAAGUCUGUACAACUUAAAUUGGACUCCGAUAAAUCCCAGGCUUUUAGAUGGAUCAUAAUUCUACCAAAGAGAAGCAUCAAUUUAGAUCAAGUUAUUCCCCAUUGAAGUCUCAUCCCAAUUUAAUCAAAGCUGGAUUAAGUUGCAUUGGCUCAAGAACCAAAAGCAAUGUUGUGAAAUUUUAGACAACUAUCAUUAAUCCCAUUGACUAUCUUUGCAAUGCUGCUGAGUGUGCUUUUCAAGUGCAAAUAUAUAUUGUAAGUAUGAAUAUUUUUAGAUUUUGAAUAUUAAAUGGAAUUUUGAUAACACCUAUUCCUUUCCCUUCCCACACAGACUAUGGAUUUUACAGUAGGACCUUCAUGCUAAAAUAAUCCUUAACACCAAUUUCCUCUUGAGAUAAGUAAGUCAUGAGGAAAGUAUUAGUUAGUUCUAGGGAGGUAUAUCUUAAAUUGCUUUCUCACAGUGUACUGCACAAGAACACCAAAAAGCAUUGUCCUCUCCAGAGGAUAUUUAAUUCUGCUUUAAAUAUUUAAUUCUGUUUUAAUGUUUGUAUAUUUAUAGAUUUUAAAUUGUAUUGAAAUACUUUUAAUGUAAGCCACUUUGAGUCUACUUGUGGAUUGAAAAAGUGGGGUAUAAAUCGUCUUUGUUGUUGUGGUCGUCAUUUGUCUGUUCUGUCUUAGAGAAAAUUUAUGCAUUUUCCUUGACCAAUUUGUCUUCAUUUCUAUGGUAGUGCAAAAUUCAAAACUAUAGUAACUGCUGCCUUGUCAAAUAUAUUACUAAGCAGUCAAAGCACCAGGUGGGUUCUGGCAUUUUUCUGAGCAAUUAGCACAAUCUUUGUUUGCUUUCUGCGUGUUUGUGCUUAAUUUCACAUAAUGAAAAAACAACAACAAACAACACACAAGAGACAUUUUGUGCAUUUUUUUCAAAGCAUAAUUAAGAAGUGUGUGUGAUGGGUUCUCCAGCUAGAUUUACACUACAGUUCCAAAUUUUGAGCUCAUAUCACUCACCUUUUCCUUGUCUCCUCAAGCCCCCUCCUUGGAUCUACUACUCAUGACAAAGCGGGAUCAUUAUACUAGACAAAUGGAUGUUUGGUCAUUAGAUUCAGCUAGGUAAAGUAUGAUCCAUUUUCCUUGUGGAUUAUUAAACAUUCAGACCAAGAAGUAGAAAACAUGAACAGUCAAGAUUUGUUUAAUUAAGACAUGGCAUGAUAGCCAUUUUUAAAAUUUUGAAAGGAUGUCAUAUGGAAGAUGGAGCUUGCUUGUUUUCUUCUGCUCCAAACUCAGGAUGGUUCUACAUUGAUUUUUUUUUUAAUCCCAGGACUGAUCCAGAGUUUUGAAUUGCCUGCCAGCCCCUGGGCAAGCAAAAAAGGAGUCCUGACUAUCCAAUGACACUGGCUAGUCACUGGACAGCCACUGUUACCAUCUCCCUUCUGUUUCUGUCAUAGUGGUGGUCACAGCCAUCCCGAGGUAAUUUUCGGGAGUAGGCGACCGGAAUUUUGGCACCCCUCCCGAAUUUUGCCCCCCCCCAAACAAAUUGUUGAUAAAUACCGGCAGCGGCGGAAGGCCCAGCCACCCGUCCGCGCGGCCGCCCUCCUGCUCUCCCUCACUGUCGCUGGGGCUGGAGGCUGAGCAAGAAGUGGAGCUGUGCGAUGCGGAGGUCAAGGUUCUUGGGCAGGCCCUCCUCCUCCAGGUUCUCCAACGGCAUCGCGGCGAAGGGCGUGUGCGGGGCCUGUUUGACGUAAGCAGCGUGGCAGGCAGGGCCUAUUCGAUGGAGGCAGUGAUGUGGGUGGGGUCUGUUGGACGUAAUGGUUGGUGUGUGGUGGGGUCUAUUGGACGCAUUCAACAAUAUGGGCGGAGCAUAUUAGACGUAUGAACCAGUGUGGGCGGGGCUUAUUGGACGUAAGCGGCGGUGCAUGCUAUUGGACAUAAGCGGGGCCUGUUGUCAGAGGCUUUCUUCUGCUUCCGGUUGAGGGCCUGAGUUACUCCCCGACUGGCGUGGCAACUUUUUCUCCUCGUCCUCCGCUUGCCUUCUUCCUCUGCCCUUUGCCUUUUGGGCGAUGGGCCUAUGCACGUGCGCAGGCCCAUCGACAGGUGAGCAGUGGGCGACAGCGAGGGAGAGCAGGAGGGUGGAUGAGUGGCUGGGCCUUCCGCCACCGCUGCCGCCACCUUGACAGUGCCCCCGCAUGGUCUGUGCCACAGGUGACUGCUUAAUUCGCCUUAAUGUUGGACCGCCUCUGGUGGUGGUCAGCAGGUAUGACAUGGCUAGUGUCACUUGGAGUGCUGUUGGCUGGGGAGCUAGAGUGACAUAGUGGGGAGAGGGGUAAUUGCCUCCUUCUUUUCCUCCUCCCUUCUCUAAUUGCCCUCAUGUUCCAGUCAACAUCACUCCAAGUAAUGAGUGACGACGUCUAGCCAAUUCUCCUAGGGAAUAUGGGAUGGCUGUGUAACAUAAUAAUAAUAAUAAUAAUAAUAAUAAUAAUAAUAAUAAUAAUAAUAAUACUUUUUUUGUAUCCUGUACUAUCUCCCCAAGGGGACUCAGAGAAGCUUCCAACAUAACAACAGGACUAAACAAAGGACUAAAAAUUUGAAGGAAAACAAUACUCAACAAUAGCAGUAAUAAUAAUCAACAUUGUACAAUAAGUAAAAAGACAGUGACAAUAAUUUUAAUAAUUAUCAUUAAAAGCAGUUUAAAAGUCCAGUUGAGGUAUAAUAACCUAUCAGUUCCCUUACAUUCAGUUUAGUUUGUGCUAUAAACUUUAUUACUCUUUCUCCUUGUAUGCUUGAGAGCAUAAGAAUGUUUUAAGUUGUUUCUUAAAUGAGAGUAAGUAGGGGGGCAAUUUGAUCUUCUUGGGGAGGGCAUUCCAAAGUGUGGGUAGGGGCAACCACUGAGAAGGUGCCCUUUCUUGUUCUCAGAAACCGUGCUUGAGACGAGGGUGUGACCGAGAGUAGGCUGAUCGAAGAGUCCGGGCAGGCUAGUAUAAGGAGAUGUGGUUUGCUAAAUAGUCUGGGCCCGCACUGUUUAGGGCUUUAAAGGUAAUAACCAGUACUUUGUAUCUAGCCCGGAAGUGAAUCGGCAGCCAGUGGAGCUACUGCAACAUGAGAUUGCUUCUCUCCCUGUGCGGAGCCCCAGUUAGUAAUCUGGCUGCCAAUUUCUGGACCAGUUGAAGCUUCCAAACUAUCUUCAAAGUCUCAUCACCAUGAUCUUUGCUAAUGCCAUUCAAGGCUGUGUUAACCUUAAUCAGCUCUGUGCAUUGUACCACCUCCAUGGAGGUGUUAUGCCCACUUUAGAAUAAUAGAUUCAAACUGCAGGAAAAAAGAUUACACCGAAACUUUAGGAAGAACCUCCUGGUGGUAAGAGCUGUUUGACAGUGAAGUUGGCUGUUUAAGAGUGUGGUCGAGUGUCCUUGUCUGGAGGUUUUUAGAUAGAGGAUGGAUGACCAUCUGUUGAGAGGGCUUUGACUGUAUCUUCCUGCUUGGCAGAAUGGAGUUAGAUUGGAUGUCCCAUAUGGCCUCUUCUAUGAUUCUAAUACUUUUUCAACACAACAUUAUGCUUUGAAAAGCUCCUACAUCUUGAAAAACAAACAGUGAUUAGCUAUAUUCAGUGGAAAAUCUAAUUAGUAGAAACAGCAACAAAAAAGAAAGGAUCUAAAGUUAUUGCUGAUCAAAGUACAUGUUAAUUAACAUGAAAAAUGUAACAUGUCAAGCAAGUUCAACCAAAACCGGCAACAUCUUGAAGUUCUCCAUUACUUACUAAAUAAAAGCCACCGGAACCAUCCUCUAAUAACGAACACAUCUGGCUGCCAGUUUUCUCCCUAAAUGAAUAAAUCAGCUCUCACAUGCUUCUGACUGCUACCUGAAUGACAGCUGAAAUUAAUUUCAUGCAGGUUGUCAGUGCAGGGGUGAGGUCAAAGUAUCUUUGGCUCCAUUCCUAUAUUUAAACACCAGAAGGUAUCAUCCAUCUGGUUAAAAGCAAUCAAUAUUCACAAUUUAUCAUAAUUUGCUCUGUGGGCUUCACGUCUUCUGAUUAAUCAGGCAUCCAAAGAAGAAGCAUUCACUGAACUUCCUGGUAGCAUCUAGGUUCCAAGAUGCAGCUGCCUCCAUGCAAAAAGAGUCUCUAUCCGGGGGGAAACAUAGCAAUGGUGAGGAACUGGCUGAGCACCAGUAUAAUUGAAAAUAUUUGAUAAAACCAUAACCCAGGAAAGAGAAAGAGAGACAUUCUUCAGGCACCUCACCCUUUUGCAACAGUUUGCUAGCUACCAGCCCAUUCAAAGUCUUCAGUUGUGCUUCAUCAACAUUUCCAUCUAUAUCAGGGCUGAUCCUUGUAUGAGUAGCUCUUGAGCCUCCAGGCUCCCAGCACUUCCAUCUUUUUCAUCUCAAAACAAAACUGGCAUUUAUAAGCAUCCAUUAUAAAUAUGUUUACAUAUAAAUAAUGCAGCUUUGAGGAGUCCUCUCUCAAAAUGGCAAUUGCACAUCCUCUCACCAUAGAGAAAAAGGUCAGCAGGAAUGAUGAACCUGUUGGAAAUAGCAACCUUCUCAAGCCUCCACUAAUUAUAUAUUGUGUAUAUAAUUCAGCUUGAUUACUUUAUUGUAUGUAUAUGUGUGUACUGGUAUACAAUUUUACCUUAACUCUUUGUUGUGGAAGAAGCUACAGACCAUGUGAUCAGAACUGGGCUUGUUCAGGACUCAGACUCCAUUUUAGAACAGUUCAGUUUAGACUUCAGUAAGAACUGUAUGCUUCAGAUUUCACUGCAGGAACAGUAUGAAGCCAUUAGACUCCAUUGGACUAUGGACUGUUGAUUCUAAGAAAGAUGCCCUGUGUUACCUACACACAGAAAUUACUUCAUAUCUAUUUGUGACUGGAUUGAUAAGCAAAGUACCUGUAUGCUGAAUGCAUGAAGUUUGUGAGUAAACCAACUAUGCUACUUUUAAAGAA